CCUACGGGAGGCAGCAGUGGGGAAUAUUGGGCAAUGGGCGCAAGCCUGACCCAGCAACGCCGCGUGAAGGAAGAAGGCUUUCGGGUUGUAAACUUCUUUUGACAGGGAAGAGCAGAAGACGGUACCUGUCGAAUAAGCCACGGCUAACUACGUGCCAGCAGCCGCGGGAAGACGUAGGUGGCAAGCGUUGUCCGGAUUUACUGGGUGGAAAGGGCGUGUAGCCGGGCUGACAAGUCAGAUGUGAAAUCCGGGGGGUCAACCCCCGAACUGCCUUUGAAACUGUUGGUCUUGAGUAUGGGAGAGGCAGGCGGAAGUCCUAGUGUAGCGGUGAAAUGCGUAGAUAGUAGGAGGAACACCAGUGGCGAAGGCGGCCUGCUGGACGACAACUGACGGUGAGGCGCGAAAGCGUGGGGAGCAAACAGGAUUAGAUACCCCAGUAGUC
rnacentral:rRNA from 1 species